GGAUGUGAGGGUGAUCUGGCUGCGACAUCUGUCACCCCAUUGAUCGCCAGGGUUGACUGGCUGGCUAGGCCGGUGUCCCCUUCCUCCCUCACAGCUCGCUCAAUGUGCGUCCCUCCCGAAGAGGACGGCCUUCCUGGAAUAGAGACGGACCAGUCUUUGGUCCAGGGUAUAGGAGUAGCUGCGCUCUCCUGCUAGAACCUCCAAACAAGCUCUCAAGGUAUCAUUUGCCUGUACUUUAUGCUAUUUGAUGAUGUUUACUCAAGCAAUUACACUAAGUAAUUAUGGCUACAUAAUAAUAUGCUAUUUU
rnacentral:snRNA from 1 species